GACGAACGCUGGCGGCGUGCUUAACACAUGCAAGUCGAGCGGUAAGGCCCCUUCGGGGUACGACGAGCGGCGAACGGGUGAGUAACACGUGGGUGACCUGCCCUUAGCUCUGGGAUAAGCCUGGGAAACUGGGUCUAAUACCGGAUAUGACUCCAUGACGCAUGUUGUGGGGUGGAAAGCCUUGUGCGGCUAGGGAUGGGCCCGCGGCCUAUCAGCUUGUUGGUGGGGUGAUGGCCCACCAAGGCGACGACGGGUAGCCGGCCUGAGAGGGCGACCGGCCACACUGGGACUGAGACACGGCCCAGACUCCUACGGGAGGCAGCAGUGGGGAAUCUUGCGCAAUGGGCGAAAGCCUGACGCAGCGACGCCGCGUGAGGGAUGACGGCCU
rnacentral:rRNA from 1 species